GUGAACGCUGGCGGUAGGCCUAACCCCUGCAAGUCGCACGGCAGCACAGUAAGAGCUUGCUCUUACGGGUGGCGAGUGGCGGACGGGUGAGGAAUACAUCGGAAUCUACUUUUUCGUGGGGGAUAACGUAGGGAAACUUACGCUAAUACCUCAUACGACCUACGGGUGAAAGCAGGGGAUCUUCGGACCUUGCGCGGUUGAAUGAGCCGAUGUCGGAUUAGCUAGUUGGCGGGGUAAAGGCCCACCAUUGCGACGAUCCGUAGCUGGUCUGAGAGGAAGAUCAGCCACCCUAGAACUGAGAAACCGUCCAGGCUCCUACGGGAGGCAACAGUCGGGAACAUUGGACAAUGGGCGCAAGCCUGAUCCAGCCAUACCGCGUGGGUGAAGAAGGCCUUCGGGUUCUAAAGCCCUUUUGUUGGGAAAGAAAAGCAGCAGGUUAAUACCCCGCUGUUCUGACGGUACCCAAAGAAUAAGCACCGGCUAACUUCGUG
rnacentral:rRNA from 1 species